CUUUCACACCUUUUCCCCUUCCCACGCUCCAUUUUCUCUUUUUCCAAACACUAACAUACAACCAUUUUCAUUUUAUACAAGAAUCAUUCAAUUGAAAAUAAAUAUUUUUCUUCUAACAAUGCAUUCUACUUGCUUUGUUAUGAAAAAUUAAUUGGGAUGAAUGGUGCAUUAACUCAAACUAAAUCCAUCUUUAUUCAUUCUUUUUCAUAAAUGGGGGGUUUCAACUUUUAAUUUUCCCCACCACUAGAGCUCAUCAAUUCCAUUUAUGAAAACUUUUUUUUAAGAAUUAUUUCUAAAUAAAUAAUUUGAUUUUUUAUUUCUCUUUCUAGGAUUAAGGGUUUGAGUAGCUGUCAAUGCCUUUAAAUUUGUAAAUUUGGCAUCUUUAUGGUAUAAUAUACAUGUGGGAAUGUCAGGCAAAAGGGCAGUCAAAGCAGGGUUUUAGAGAGAGAGAGGGACAGGGGAGGGAGAUGCUUUUUUAUUAUCUUGCUCUCUCAGAGCUUAGAGUGUAGUCAUAUUCAAAACCACAAGCCUUUACCCGCAAUACCCAGUUGCUAAAUUUCAUCAUUCUUGCCCCUUCUACAUUGAAAAUUGCAUGUAAGCUGUCUCAAUCUUGAGAAAUGAGUCGAAGACUCUACACCCAGAUCUCAAGGGUCGGCAAGCAUUUUACGAAAUGGGUUUUCAGCUAAUGUCUGAUUAAUUGAGUGGAACCAAGUGUUUGUCAAAAAACCAGAGGAAAAAAAUAUAAGAGUGAAUUCAAGCUUUUUGGUUCAAAAUGAGGGAUUUCCCAUCUUGUUUUGGUGAAAAUGGUGUUCAAGUUGCUGAUUCUUCAUCCUCUAAUGCUACUAAAACUGCUCAAAACCUGGUUACCUGCGUGUAUCAAUGCCGUUUGCGUGGCCGGUCUUGUUUGAUUACUGUUGUGUGGAGCAAGAAUUUGAUGGGCCAAGGCCUUAGUGUUGGGAUCGAUGAUUCUGCAAAUCAAAGCCUUUGUAAAGUUGAUAUUAAGCCUUGGUUGUUCUCCAAGAGAAAAGGGUCAAAGAGUUUAGAAGCAAAUUCUAGUAAGAUUGAUAUUUAUUGGGACUUUUCUUCAGCUAAAUUUGGAUCUGGGCCCGAGCCAUUGGAGGGAUUUUAUGUCGGGGUUGUGUUUGAUCGUCAAAUGGUCCUCCUUCUCGGGGAUUUGAGAAAGGAGGCAUUUAAGAAGACAAAUGCAACCCCUGUUCCUUCUAAUGCCGUUUUUAUUGCCAAGAGAGAGAACAUUUUUGGAAAGAAAGUCUUCAGAACCAAGGCUCAGUUUUGUGAUAAUGGGCAAAUUCACGAUCUCAUGAUUGAAUGUGACACUAUUGGUGUCACUGAUCCAUACCUGGUGAUCCGUGUGGACAGUAAGAUUGUGAUGCAGGUGAAGCAGCUUCGGUGGAAGUUUCGGGGCAACCAUACCAUUGCAGUUGAUGGCCUUGCAGUUGAAGUUUUCUGGGAUGUCCAUAAUUGGCUCUUUAGUACAACUCUUGGAAAUGCUGUUUUUUUGUUCAAAACCUGCCUCUCUGCAGAGAAGUUAUGGGCUAGCCAACCACUCUCAGAUCCGAAUGUAUUCCAAGAUCCAAAUGUAGUAACAUUGUCUUGCUCACAGAGAUUCCGAGAUUCCCAGUCGCAAGCUCUUAGUUUCUCGCUGAUCUUGCAUGCUUUGAAAAAUGAAUAGAGAGAUUUGAGAUUCCUCAUCAAGUGCUAACAAAAUCUUUUUGGGUCUAAACUUAAGCCAUAGUGACUGACAAAGCAAGGUGAAUUCAAGCUUAGAACGUGUUUAGCAUCUAUGUAAGACGUUUGAAUACCACAUACUUCCUUUGGUGUGGGAUAUGUUACAUGGGUACUACUUAGAGGGUAAAGAAUCUGUUUUGUACGCAUAUCCAACUGCAACAAUUCAUGGAUUUUGAUUUUGACAGGAUCCAGUUUCUGGUGGGUUAAGGCAUUCAAGUAACAUAUCAGCUGCAAAUAGUUAGCAUUGACCUCUGUGCAAGAAGUUACUAAUGUUUCUAAACUGGAACCAUCAGCCGGCUUGGAGGAUAUUUGUCUGAUUAUCUCUGAAGCUAAAGUGUUGCUUUCUCCAUUAGAGAUAAGAAAGCUAAAAGCAACUGCCCUGCUCAUAGUUGUAUUGUUGUAUUCCUUAAUGGGCUGUUGCUGAAGAUACUGAGACAUUAUUUAUACACAUAAUAAAUGAUAUUUCAUCGCCUCAAUCGAUGGUAAUAAUCAUUUCCCAGGACUUUGAUGGUUAUUAGGAAGGAAGCGUAAUAUUUACUUCAUUGGGGUGAUUAGCUUGACACUUUUGCCUCCUGUCUUAGAUUGAUUUUCUUCAACAUUUGACAAUAUGAUGCAUUCCCAUGUUCAGCCCAUUCACUGAUCUUGGAAACCACCCCCCAGUUUUGUUAUUAUUAAAUAUUUUCAGUGUUUGGUUGUUAUGUAUCACACAAUCUCUUGCUGAGUU